rnacentral:rRNA from 1 species
UACAGAGGGGGCAAGCGUUGUUCGGAAUUACUGGGCGUAAAGGGCGAGUAGGCGGCCUUCUAAGUCGAACGUGAAAUCCCCGGGCUCAACCCGGGAACUGCGUCCGAUACUGGAAGGCUUGAAUCCGGGAGAGGGAUGUGGAAUUCCAGGUGUAGCGGUGAAAUGCGUAGAUAUCUGGAGGAACACCGGUGGCGAAGGCGACAUCCUGGACCGGUAUUGACGCUGAGGCGCGAAAGCCAGGGGAGCAAACGGG